UUAUCCAUCCCCUCAGGUUACCGAUCCAUCGCUAACAUAUAUGUGCGAUCGAUAACAUCCAGUUAGGCCUGUGAAGUUUUACAUAGCACAUAUAUGAUAUUGGAUGGCCUUUUUCUCCCACUACACUACUUAGUGAAGGAGCUCGCAAAACAGGAUUUAUUCAGAUCGUCUGCCACAAUCGUCGACGAAGUGAUGAAAGAAGUCAUACCAGACGGUGCCCACUCACUCAUGAACCCUGAUAAUAUUGCGAGGGCAGCAAACUUAUAUUGACAGAACCUUCGACCAAAAGAACCCAAACCAGAUGACGUGAAAUUUGAAGUAACGAGAAGUGUUUCAUAUGUAGAUACUAUGCUUAGAUAAUAAAUUUCAUCUAUAUACCUA